AUUGAACGCUGGCGGCAGGCCUAACACAUGCAAGUCGAGCGGAAGAAGGGAGCUAGCUUCUUCUUUCGGCGGCCGACUGGCGGGCGGGUGAGAAAAACCUGCCUAUCAGUGUUGUAUAGGGGGCUGAAGCGGGCGCUAAUACGCCAAACGUCCUUAGGGAGUAAGUGGGGGAGCAUCGGACCUCACGAUCUUACAUGAUCGUAGGUCGGAUUAGCUAGUUGGUGGGGUAAAGGCCUACCAAGGCGACGAUCCGUAACUGGUCUGAGAGGAUGAGCAGCCACACUGGAACUGAGACACGGUCCAGACUCCUACGGGAGGCAGCAGUGGGGAAUAUUGGACAAUGGGCGCAAGCCUGAUCCAGCCAUGCCGCGUGUGUGAAGAAGGUCUUCGGAUUGUAAAGCCCUUUUGGUUGGAAGGAAGGGCAGCAAGUUAAUACCUCGCUGUUUUGACGUUACCCAAAGAAUAAGCACCGGCUAACUUCGUG
rnacentral:rRNA from 1 species